GAUGAACGCUGGCGGCGUGCCUAAUACAUGCAAGUCGAGCGAACGGACGAGAAGCUUGCUUCUCUGAUGUUAGCGGCGGACGGGUGAGUAACACGUGGAUAACCUACCUAUAAGACUGGGAUAACUUCGGGAAACCGGAGCUAAUACCGGAUGAUAUUUUGAACCGCAUGGUUCAAAAGUGAAAGACGGUCUUGCUGUCACUUAUAGAUGGAUCCGCGCUGCAUUAGCUAGUUGGUAAGGUAACGGCUUACCAAGGCAACAAUGCAUAGCCGACCUGAGAGGGUGAUCGGCCACACUGGAACUGAGACACGGUCCAGACUCCUACGGGAGGCAGCAGUAGGGAAUCUUCCGCAAUGGGCGAAAGCCUGACGGAGCAACGCCGCGUGAGUGAUGAAGGUCUUCGGAUCGUAAAACUCUGUUAUUAGGGAAGAACAUAUGUGUAAGUAACUGUGCACAUCUUGACGGUACCUAAUCAGAAAGCCACGGCUAACUACGUG
rnacentral:rRNA from 1 species